rnacentral:rRNA from 1 species
UACGAAGGGGGCUAGCAUUGCUCGGAAUCACUGGGCGUAAAGGGUGCGUAGGCGGGUCUUUAAGUCAGGGGUGAAAUCCUGGAGCUCAACUCCAGAACUGCCUUUGAUACUGAGGAUCUUGAGUUCGGGAGAGGUAAGUGGAACUGCGAGUGUAGAGGUGAAAUUCGUAGAUAUCAGGAGGAACACCAACGGCGAAGGCAGCUCUCUGGGACGGUACUGACGCUGAGACGCGAAAGCGUGGGGAGCAAACAGG